GAUGAACGCUGGCGGCGUGCCUAAUACAUGCAAGUCGAGCGAAGCGGGGACGGGUGAGUAACACGUGGAUAACCUCCUUUAUGACUGGGAUAACUUCGGGAAACCGGAGCUAAACCGGAUCCUUUUAGAUUGAUUCGCGCUGCAUUAGCUAGUUGGUAAGGUAACGGCUUACCAAGGCAACGAUGCAUAGCCGACCUGAGAGGGUGAUCGGCCACACUGGAACUGAGACACGGUCCAGACUCGUACGGGAGGAAGCGGUGGGGACUCUUCCGCAAUGGGCGAAAGCCUGACGGAGCAACGCCGCGUGAGUGAUGAAGGUCUUCGGAUCGUAAAACUCUGUUAUUAGGGAAGCGGUACCUAAUCAGAAAGCCACGGCUAACUACGUGCCAGCAGCCGCGGUAAUAC
rnacentral:rRNA from 1 species